UAAUAAUAAAGGAGACUUUUCUCCCACCUCCUGCAGCCACGUCAUCAGGUAGAGUAGGGCGUUUUGCGCCAGGUGUCACUUCGAAAUUUCCUUCAUCGCCUGAUUCCGUAACUUUUGUUGGGCUGGGCUUAUGUUUUCAUGUUUAGUGUAAUAUAUUGAACUUGCUUCUGGGCUUCUAAAAUCACUGUGUUAUAGAUUCAAACCCAGUGAACUAUAGGGUUUUUUUCAUCUUCUCACUUUGACUUUCUUUCGCAUCUCACAGUCAAGUUUUCUAGAAAACAAAACGCCUACCAACUCACAGUAACGCCUUCACCUUGCAUUAAUAUGUUCUUUAAUCAGAGCUGUAACGUGAUUAACCCAUUGCUUCCAUUCUGAAGCAUUCAAUCAAUCUCACCAGCUUCUUCCAAGGUAACCGAAGGACGCUCCGCUUAUAAAUGUGUAUGCUCGCAGCGAUGAACAGAGUAUCUUCUCCGAAAUCAAAAAGAACGAUCUCUGUUAGUAACCAUCUCCAACAAUGGCGAGUUCCUCCAUCUUGCUUGCUGAUUUAAAAGUUGACCUCUGCUUGAACACCGUAAGAUUAGAAACAUUUUAGCUUCUUUAUCACCUUGAUUGCAUGUUUUAGAGUUAUCCGAUGAGAUUCUUGUCUGGAAUCUGCAAGUUUUCGAUGAUCAAUACUUUAUGAUAGAUUUACUUUAUUAUUACGGAUUUUUGUUAAUUUCAGAUUCCUCGAUUGACAGUGAUGAAUGGCGGGAGCCAACAUUGAAAGCAUUUACAAACCUUGUGUGCUCAUGUUUGUCAGGAAUCUCCAGAUGAGAAAGUUUAUGUCCAACAAAUAAUCUUGAAGCCUGCUUUGGAGAAUGAUUGUGGCAUACUCAGGAUGAUCUGCACGUUGGACUCUAAACGUACAAGACUUUCUUUGUAACAACAAGUGAAUUCUUACCAGGAUAUUUAAUCGAUAUGGUCAAUAUAUAACAGAAGACAAGGACAAGCCUUUUUACCAUUACAUGCAAACAUGUUUCUACUAUUUAGUUCUUUGCUUUUCCUGUUUGACCGGAGCUCCAAACUCACAGAAGAGGUUCAGAAAAAUACUGUGAUUGGUGGUUAGUGAAAAUACUAAAGCGAUGCUGGAACAAUCGGUCCAGCAAGACUGGGAGAGCAGUCAAACUCAUUGAAUUUGGUACAAUGCAUUGUCUCUGUACAACGUUAUCACAUUGCAGGUGAUCAUUUGUCUUUUUCCUACUCUCUUUCGUUAUAUAUUGCAAAUCCAUGUUGCUGAUUGUGUUUUUACCUCCUUAAUUUUCUUUGCAGUAUUCCGAUCUUGACUGUAGAAGGAAAACAUAUGAUGAAAACCACAUAAGAGAAAAUUAGGAUUGCAUCUAAUAGCUUAGUAAGCUGUGCAACUUUGACCGUAUAAGAUUUGUGCUCCGGUUGUAAAGAUACGACUUUUUCUUUGCUUACUUGGGAAAGCACCAACUUAAGUACACAACUUUGAUACACAAUACAAAAGCUUUGAUUCAUGCCUCGAACAUGUUCCAUCACUUUAGCAAGUCCACACUAUGUGUGCUUCCAAAUGGCCAUGAGUUCAGACAUUAUUUUUGCUGUUGCCACACAAGAUUCUAAUUCAUAUACAUGAAAAAAAGAGGCAUCUGUUGGAAAAUCAAAAACUAAUUAGAUACAACAAAAAUUUGACCAAAAUAAAAUAGAUAUAACAAAAUAAAAUAAUAAAUAUUUAGUGAAAAUACUUAACUAGCUUCAACUUGGUAAAAACUAUUUAGCAAAUAGUAAAUUAGUUAAUUGUAUAGAUAAUCUAAAAUACAUAAAUUUCAAAGAUGAAUAGAAAAUAUCACAAAAAAAAAUUUAUAAUAUAGUUCUUCAAAUUUCAUCAAACCUAGAACCAUGAAAAAUAAUAAAAGGGAAUCUCACAUAUAUUUUUUUUGUUACCAAUUUCAAGCAUAGACAAAUUAACCAGAAAAUGAUAGAAGCACAAUAAAUUAUUAAUAUGUAAUCAAAAUAAAUAUUUUACAAAAAAUCAGUUUAAAAAUAAUAAUAUAACAAAUAAAAUCAUAAAGUUAACAAAAUUACUCAAUAGAACUUGUGCUUGGUAAAAAAAUUCGUCAACAAAUAUUAAUUUAGUAAACAUAUAUAAUAUAAUUUAAAAAUAUUACUUCAAAAUAAAUAGAAAAAAAAACUAUACGACUUAAUAAUAUUACGAAGGGAAGAGUUCAAGAUCGGUAAAGCUUACAUGGACAAAUUUGAGAACUAAGCAAAAUAAAAGCGAACAAAUAAUGAAAGCUCAUCAAGAGAUCUUUCCACGAAUUAAAAUAAUCAAACUAUCAUGUUAUUUAACAACAUAUAAGAAUACAAAACAACAAUUACAUUUCACAACAUGAACAUCAAAAUAGGUGUGACACCUACUAUUGCAGUAAACACAUGAAAAACAUUUGUUUUUAAGCUAAAGAUGUAAGUUUACGACACUCUUUUUUAUCCUCGACGCACCGUCUGUAGCUCCUCCACAAACCUCUAAGUAUUUCAGGAACACUUCAAGAAGCUCAUCCAUCAAGCCACUGUUUAGAAUAGUUUGUUGAGUUUCAGGAGAAAACUUGAAGAGAUCUUCGCUUACACAUGUAUAAAGAUCAGUGAGACCAGAGAGACCGUCACAGACCAUGGUCUCCGACUCUGGCGAAGACAACCCCAGAGCUCUAACCUUGGAGACCACUUCUUGAAUUCUCCUAACACUCGAGUGAGACCGAACUGGUAAGUUAACACAUCUCGGUUUGUAUGCUCUGUGGAGUCUUGGAGAUAAUGAAGAACAUAUACACUCAAGUAAUGAUGAUAAAAAUUGAGGUUUUCGAGUUAUGCUUUGUUUGGUCUUUUAGCUCUAGGGUUAAUAUAAACAUACAUAAUGAUAACAAAUGUCAAUGAGUAGGGCCUAUAGCUAGCGCUAGACGUGAAGACCAUGUGAAGUGAGUGUGGGUGUUUCACGAAGCAGAAGCAGAAGCACAAGACUUAAAGCUUGUGGGAAAGUAAAAAUAAAUAAACAAAUAAAUAAAUUCAUAUUAAAAAUUAACAAAAUCUAAUUACAACUAUGUACAUUAAUGUAAAAAGUUGCAAAGUCUGGACAAGCAUGGCAAUACAUAACAUAGGUCUGAAAUUAUUGUCCGGGAUCCGGAUCUGAUCCGAGAUCCACUCCAAAUCCGCUCCAUAAAUAGGAUAUCUGGAGUGCCCGAAUAUGAAUCUGGAUAGUAAAAUCAUGGUCCGUCAAAACCGAAUCCGGAUCCGGAUAUCUUAAUUUUUUAGAUAUGGAUAUCCGGAUCUGUAUUUUAAAAAUAUAUUAAAUUUUUAAAUAUCAUUAAUAUUAAUAUUUGAUAUAUUAAUAUUUAUACAUAAAUUAAUAUUAUAAUAUUUUAUUUUAUUUAAAUAUUAUACACACAUAUAUAUAUAUAUAUUUAUAAAUCUAAAAUUAAUAAUUGAUUUAAGUAUUAUUUAAAAUUUUAGUAAUUAAAAAAAAUAUUUUUUAAUAUUUUUACGGAUCCGAAUCGAGCAGCGGCUGCAUCAAACACUCCUUAACAAAACGCAAAGAAAGAAGAUGCUGAUUCAUAUGAGGUGACCCUAGACGAAGACUUUCUCACUGCCCUGGAAUAUGGAAUGCCUCCUCCUGCUUCUGGAAUGGUACUAUAUCUUAUUUUCUUUCUUGUAUACGAGUAGAUUAAUAGUAUUGACGUUGCUUAAUUUUCAUAGUCAAAAACAUUACCAAGCUUUGUAUGCUCAAGUACUUAUAUAAGUUCUCUUAUUGUUUUUCCGUCUUUCCUAGAGGCCUGGUAUUGACAGGCAGGUGAUGCUGUUGACAAACUCUGCGCGUAUAAGAGACGUCAUUACCUUUCCUGUUCUGAAGGUUCAGCAGUAAUAAUUGCGCCUAACGUGGUAAUACAUGUUGUAGCUUUAGCAUUCCUUGUGUAUCUUUUUUUUGGCUAUUUCUCGAGCUGAGGAAGUUGGAAGAAGCUUGUGUAACAUACGCAACUGGAUAGUAAAAAACAAAUCCAAUGAUCUUUUGCUUGAUACGUGCUUGAGAAUGAAAUAGACGUACAAUAAUACAUACGAAAAUAGUUCCAUCAUGUUUCAGAGCUCUGGGAUCAAAC